rnacentral:misc_RNA from 1 species
GUGGCGGCACAUUCUGUGUUGACGUGUGCUUGAAGAAAGAUGGCAGCCCGCAUGAAAGGGCUGCUGUUAACUAUGUUUUUAGCUUCACUUCACUUAUCUCAAUCCCAAAAAAUAUCUAAUCUUCGCUUGUGUGCUGAUCCUAACUGCGAAGGUACUAUUUCUCUUGUACGUACAUUAAGAAAACAUAAUCCUAAAGAGCCAGGAUUGCUGUCAUUCCAACCCAACCAUGUCAUCAGAGUAACUAGUAAAUCUGCUGGAAAUAGGCCUGAAUUCUGGGGUGGAGAGAUCAAUGGAAAGUUUGGUUACUUCCCUCGUUCCUUUGUAACAGAAUAUAAAGUUUAUGUACACAAUCCAGAGCAUGUGGUUCAUACUGAGGAGCAGCAGCCACCUCAAAUAAAUGAAGCACCCCCAGUGCAACCUGAUCAGUUGUCAGACCAGCCUUCUACCGGAGCUGACCAACUUCAAACAAGUGACCCACAGCACUCUGUACAUACUGGACAGGACCAUGCUAAACAACAACAACAGCAUCAACAACAACAACCUGACUCUCACUCUGAUGCAGUCCAACUAAAUGAAGGACAUGAACAUCACAGUGGUCAUCAGCAGCAGGCAGAACAAGGGACUUUUGAUGAUAUUGUAGCUGCAGAAACACAACGUAGGCGUCAGGAGGCAGAAUUGGUGAGACAGCAGUUGUUGCAUCAACAAGAACAGAAAAAUCAACAGCAGCAAAGUAACUCAGACUUAGAUCCAGGAAAUGCACAACAGCAACAGGAUCCAGUGGAGCAACAGCAGCAACAUCAACCAGUACAGCAACAGGAUCCAGUGCAGCAACAGCAGGAGGAUCCAUUGCAACAGCAGCAACAUCAACCAGUACAGCAACAGGAUCCAGUGCAACAACAGCAACAUCAACAAACAGUACAGCAACAGGAUCCAGUGCAGCAACAGCAGGAGGAUCCAGUGCAACAGCAGCAACAUCAACCAGUACAGCAACAGGAUCCAGUGCAACAACAGCAACAUCAACAAACAGUGCAGCAACAGCAGGAGGAAACAGUACAACAGCAGCAGCAUCAACCAGUUCAGCAACAGGAACAUCAACAGGACCCAGUACAGCAACAGGAACAAUUCCAGCAGCAGCAAAAACUUCAACAAAAUUCAUUGCAUCAACAUCAAGAUCCAUCACAUCACCAGCAUGAGCAACAACAUGAUCCAUUGCAUCAACAACAACAGCAGCACACGCAGCAGGAUCAACAGCAGGACCCACUGCAGCAACAACAGCAGCAAGGUAACAAAGAGCAGCAACAACAAAAUGAGGAUGAUGAAGAACAAUAUGACAGUGACACAGAAUAUGAUGAUGAGGAAGAAGAUGGAGAGGAUGAGGAUGAGGAAAUGAGAGAAGAAAAUCAAAAUGGUAAUGAAGAAUAUGAUACAGAACUACCUGAAACAGAGCCAGACACAACCACACCUUCAGGUGAUGUAAGAGAGGAACCUGGAGAGCCAGAGGAGACUCAGUCUGACACUCAUCAGACUGAACAACAGCCUGAAGCUAAAGGGCUAUGGAGCUCACUUACAUCAAUGUUCUCUUCAGAGGAAAAGAAACAAGAUGAAGUGCAAGAGACUCAAGAUUUAGCAACAGAUGAUGACCAUGACCCUAAUGAAGCAUUAGAACGCCUUAGAGAAAAGCACUUGCAACAUGGAGAAACAGUGGAAGAAGAAUAUGCAGAAGAGCAUGUAGACCAUUUGAAUGCAAUACUGGAAGAGAAAACCAAAGAACCGGAAAUUCAUAAAGGUUCACAUGAGAGUGAGAAAGAACCUGUACCAGCAAUGGAAGAAACCAAGGAGACAGGUGGUCAAGAAUCAGAUACCCAGCCUGACAGUACAGCCACUAAGAGUGAGCCUGCGGAAGAAAACAGUGUGCAUGAUACUGAAUCCCCUGAGCGAACAGAACCAGAUGACACCCCCACUAUUACUGUAUCCACUAUCACUGGAGAUGCAUUGGUUGUGGAUGACUCUUCUGCCACACCUACAACACAAAUUAUUGUAGAGCAACCAGUUGUUGCUACAACACCCACAGUUGAAGUACUGCAGCCUCAGGAACAACAAGAAAAGCAGCAACAGCAAGAACAGCAGCAGAGAAAACAACAGCAAGAAAAGCAGAGUGAGGAACCAAAUCAACAACAACAACAGCAGGAGCAGCAACAACAACAGCAACAACACCAGGAGAAGCCCAUAGUUACAGAAACAACCCCCAUUGUUACACCACCAACACAAGAGGAGAACACUGCCACUGUCCCCCCAGCAGGAGAUGCACAACCAAUCAUACCUCCACCAACUUUACAAGAUGGUGAACAGAAACCAAACCAGGACAAAGAACCUCAAGAAGCAAUAGACAACACAGGAGCAAAAGAUAAUCAGAGAGAAGACAAAUCAUCUCAACAGGGUCAACAGCCACUUGAACAGGUCCAACCAUCUCAAGGCAGUCUGCCGCCUCCGGAAGGUCAUUUACCUGAAGAAGGCCAACAGCCUGGAGCAAGUCAAGAGCAUCAAGCAAGCCAUCAACCUGAAGUUCAGCCACUUGAUGGGAGUCACCAACCUCAAGAGGAUCUACCUUAUGAGGAAGAAAGUGAGACUGAGGAGGAAGCCAGCAUUUCUGAGUCUUCAGACAAGUCUGAGCCCUCAUCAGUUGAAGAAACAACACCUGCCCCACCAGAGGCAUCUCCCUCAGUGCCAGACAUUGAUGCAGAUCAGAAAAUACCAGACAAAGCUGGUCCUUUGGAAAUAGAGAGGACAGAAGAAGAAAAACAGAUAGAUAUAAAGGAUUCAGCUGGUAAAAUAGUUGAAGGCACACCUGACCCUAACAAAGGAUUUCCUGAUCCCACCAAAGAAUUUUCUGAAGGUCAAAAGGCAGGUGAGUCUCAAGACAAUACACCAUCACCCCCAGAAGAUGUAGCUGAAGGUAUGAAACUGGAUGACUCUGGAGCGGAUAAGGCGGAUAUUGAAAAAGAUAAAGACAAGCCAAAACCUGAAAUGACAAAGGAAGAAGAUAAGGAAAUAAUUAAGGAAGGAAUUCUUGGAACUUCUGCUGAUGUGUCAUCUACUACAACGGAGCAGGACUCAACAACCAUCAUUGAUGGGACCACCAUGGAAUUGAUAGAUGGAACACCCAUACCAAUGGACCCUGAUGACCUUUAUUUUGCUGAUGGUCCAUCAAGUCCAAGCUUUACUGAGGCAGUGUCAUCCAUCAGCAUCCAGCCAGUAGAAGAGACAACUGAAAGUGGUAACACUGCACAGGCAGAUUUUGCAUCAAACAGUAUUCAGGUUGAGCCAUCUGUAUCGCCUCAGGAAGCCAUAUCUUCUGUAGAACCCCGUGAAAGUAGUGAAGUUGAGGGUAGUCAAUCUGAGUUGACAGCUACUUCACCACAGCAAACACAGGGGAUGACUUCCCAAGCAACAGUCCUGCAUACAACGAGUGGAGAUGCUAAAGCAAGUAUCAUAGACACUCUGAGAGAAACUCCGCCUGAAGGUAUCAAGGAUACUGCUAAGAAAGAGGAAAAAGAUGAGAAAGAUAGCACAUUACAGGAAACUAUUACAAAUAAACCGGACACCAUUACUACUGUGCCUUCUGUGGAUGAUGAGAUACCAAUGCCACCAGUUGAAGCAGUCACACCACCUACUGUUAUGAUACAAGAUGGCACCAGUGGUGCUGGAACCCAGGGAGGAGGUGCAGACCCCCUGGGGAUGGGAAGCACCCCUGCCAUUGACAUUCCAUCAAAGAAGAAUGACUCUGAUGGCCCAACAGCCCCACCUCCCAACCAACCAUAUCUGGGGGACUUGGUCAAAGAGGAGUACAGGAGUGAUGCAGACUUCCUGAACAGAAAACCAUUGAAUCAUAAUAUUAAGUCGGACACCAGCACUAAAGCAGCACCAAUGGGUGGUGAUGGAAAUGUGCAGGGGACGGACAGUUUGCCUAGGUCUCUACAAGGUGAAGAUCAGGCUGGGGCUGCCCCUGAAAAAGAAAGUCUACACAAGCCUCCAACUGGUAUUAAAGCUUUAGUAUUUGUUGUGAUGGCUACCAGUGAACCAUUCAUGCAGCUUUUGGUGGAUUUGCUGCCAGAUCCAAUGAAGGAAACCAUUGCUGAGGACGUAGUGGGUCUUCCCCCUACCACCACCAUGUUUGCGACAUUGGUCACUAUUGUCCUAUCCAUAUUUUGGUCUUGUUUGGCUUGCUCUGGGAAGUCCAAAAGGAGAAAGGAGUUUGACUAUAUGGCCAAGUAUCGGGGGUUGGAAGAAAAGCUUUACAUAACUACUAAAGAAAAAGAAAACCUAGAAGAAAGUCUCUCAGAAGCAGAAAAGAAGUUAACUGAGAAAGAAAGUUUAGUCAAUAUUGUAGCAGAAAGUGGUGACAGUCUUCAAGCAGAACUCAACAUGGUGCAGGAUAAAAAGGCAAUGAUAGAAUCUCAGCUGAAUGUUCUCCAGGAGCAAGUUGAGCAACUCAACCUAACUGUGGAACAGCAGCAACUGGACAUUGACUCAAAACAACAGGAGAACGCUGUGCUAAACAAUCAGAUAACACAGACAGGAGAACAUGUCACAGCCCUGGAGCACAAGUUAAAUGAACUUCAAGAUUCUCUUAGUCAACAGGAAAGUAUGGCCACAGCAUAUAAAAACCAAGUGCAAUUACUUACAGAGGAAAAUAAUCAGCUUAAGGAAAGCAAGAGCCAGUUGCAAGAAGAAGUUGAAGGAUGGAAUGAAAGAGUAAAAGACUUGACAGAUCAAGUAUCACUUCUUCAAAAGGAACAGAAAGAACUACAAGAGAAUGUUGCAUAUAAGGACAAUGAAUUGGAGGUGCUCAGAGAUUGCUUUAUGCAAAUGAAAUCAUUGGAGAAGGAGAGAGAAGAGAGAGGACAUGAAGAGGAGGAUGCAGGAGAAGGACAUGAAGAUUUGCAGGACAAGAUACAAGCUAUGAUGGAUGUGUCUAGAGUGAGGGCGCAGUUGCAAGCAGUUAGAGAGGAUAGAGAUAGUAUAGAAAAUCAAUUAAAAAUUGAAAAAGACAGUAGGAAACAAUUGGAAGAUAAAAUUGAAUCUAUGCAAGUUCAGAUGGAGAAGUUGAGGGAAGGGCAUUACAAAGCAGACCAACAAGGGAAAGAAGCACAGCACAAACUUGAUGUAUUAUCCAAUUAUUUUAAGGAGAAAGAGAUGCAACUUACAAAAGAGUUGGGUGAGCAGGAGGCCCUCAAAAAGCAAAGUCUGUCUCAGUUGGCCAGUGCUGGAGAAAAAACUGAAGCUUUUGAAAGAGAAAGUGCAGUAUAUAGACAACAGAUAAAAGAUCUUCAAGCAGAAAUAGAAAAUGUGGAAAGGAACUUCAGACAACAGAUAGCGCAAAAUGAGAAAAAGGCCCAUGAAAACUGGCUUGCAGCAAGAAAAGCAGAAAGAGAACUCCAACAAGCCAAAUUUGAGGCAACACAGUACAGGCAAAAGCUUACAGACUUGGAACAUAAGCAAGAAGAAACUAUGAAAGGAUUGAUGAGGCCCUUGGCUCUUUCACCAGAUGGACCAGUUGGGCCUCCUCCCCCUCCUCAUCCUGGUCUGGACAGGCCCUCCCCUGUGUACAGAGAUGAUGGUGUACGAGACUCUCCUCAUAUGAUUCCACCCCCACCAGUGGAGAGAAGGCCUCUCUUUCCACCAGGACCUAUGGGGCCGUUACCACCCCCACGUAUGCCCCCACCCCCUCCAUUUGAUCAUAGACCCCCACUCCCACCAAUGGACAGAAGGUCACCACCUUAUGACAGACGGCCUCCUCCUGACAGGAGGUCACCUUUAGAUCAUCGAUCACCUCCGCCAUUUGACAGGGCACAGUCACCUCCCUACGACCACAGAUCUCCACCACCAAUGGAUCGCAGAUCCCCUCCUCCAUUUGAUAGGCGUCCACAUUUAGAUAGAAGAUCACCCCCACCAUUUAGGGACAUGCCACCCCCACCCCCUCACCUCAGAGGACCUCCCCCACCUCUGGGGCGUGACAUGCCACCCCCACCAUUUGGUCCACCUCCUAUGGGACCUUAUGGACCACGCCCCCCUCCUCCGCCAGGAGAUAGAUAUGAAGGCUCUAGGUCAACAUCAAGACAAAGUAUGCAUAGAACAUCUACUCCUACAGAUUAAUGUGUGCCAUAUGAUGGAAAGAUUUUGGACUAUUACUAGGAAAUUCAUAUGUAUAUACAGUCAUUUUAGUGAUGAACAUCUUCAAAAAGACCAAGAGUGCAGUCUACAAAAGGAUUAAGUCAUACAUGAAUAUAUCAGUAAUUAUUACAGACUGCCCAAAUUUGUUAAUUGUCAUAUUGAAAAGGCAACUUGCAAUCCAUGGUCUCUUCCACUUAUAAUUGAAAUAAAGGUGAUGUUAUAAUUGAAAUAAAGGUGAUUUAGGCCUAACCUUACGUUUUCUAAUUGAAAAGUCAGAUUUCAAAUAUGGCUUGAAAUCGUAUUCAAUUUGGAACAUGAUGCCAUUUGUCUUCAACUUGAAGGCAAUGGCUAUGAUUUAAAACAAUGUAAAUAAGCUUGUUAGUAUCAUUCAUUUGCAGGCACUGUGAUGUCUUUAUAUUGGUAUUAGUAAAUAUUAAAAAACAUUAAACAUGUUAAAAUUGCAUUCAAUUUGAUGUGUUUGAAGAGUUGCAAGUAUGAAUUUAUAUUUUGUUGUGAACAAUGCAAAUGCUUGCGUUUUCUUAUCAUGGUGCUAUUAUGACAUGAAAGGAGAAGAUGCAAUUGUUCAUAAGUUUUGCAUUUUGAAAUUUAUGAUUAAGGUUCGAAUUAGACAUUGUAUUUCUCAAAUGAAACUAGUUAUUUAUUUUGUAUCACAUUCUCAUUAUACAAAAUAAAAUUUUAUUUC